UUGUACAAACAACAGAAGCUUGUGGUGCUAUUGGGGCCGGUAAAGAAGAAUGUGUUCUUUCCAUCAUUCCAGUGCGUGUUAAAGCACAGAAGGGAACAAAAAUAGUCACCACAUAUGCGUUUUUGGACCCAGGUAGCUCAGCUACAUUUGCAACUGAAUCACUGAUAAACCAGCUCAACCUGAAUGGGCGCAACACAAGCAUCUUAUUGCGGACAAUGGGAAAGGAAUCUAUGAUGAACACUCGCGUUGUGACUGGACUGGAGAUCUGUAGUUUGGAUGGUAACCAGUUUAUUGCACUUUCAGAGGUGUUUUCACAGAAAACCAUUCCAGUGACUAAAGACAAUAUUCCCCAUCAAAAGGAUGUUAACAGAUGGCCUCAUCUAAAAGAUGUGAAACUUCCCAGCAUCCAGUCGGAGGUUGGAUUGCUCAUAGGAGCAAAUGUUCCCAAGGCAAUGGAGCCACUACAAGUGGUUAAUAGUGUGGAUGAUGGACCAUAUGCCGUAAGAACAGUAUUGGGCUGGACGAUAAAUGGACCGCUUAGAAGUGGAUACAAUGCAAAAGAGGCAAAGAAAUUGUCAGACUUCACUGUAAAUCGGAUUUCAGUAGCCAAGUUAGAAGACCUCUGGCAGCUGCAAUUCAAGCAAGACUUUCCUGAUGCUGGGCUAGAUGAGAGCAUCGAAAUGUCCAAGGAUGAUCACCAGUUUAUUGACAAGGUGUCCUUGUCUGCAACAUUGGUGGAUGGUCAUUAUAGUAUUUGUCUUCCACUGAGAAACAAAUCUAUGUGUAUCCCAAACAACAGAUCAGUUGCUGAGCAACGAGCACUGAACUUGAGGAAAAGAUUUACAAGAGAUGUCAAGUUUCACAGUGAAUAUGUGGCAUUUAUGAAUGAACUCUUCAAGAAAGGCUAUGCAGUUAAGCUCCAAGGCGCUGAAAUUGAGCCUACUGAGGGACGAACCUGGUAUCUGCCUCAUCAUGGAGUCAGACAUCCAGUCAAGCGAAAAUUGCGUGUUGUCUUUGAUUGCGGAGCGAGCUUUCAAGGAACAUCGCUUAACCAACAGCUCCUACAAGGACCAGACUUAACAAGUUCACUAGUAGGAGUUCUCAUGAGGUUCCGGCAAGAGACUGUGGCAGUUAUGGCCGAUGUAGAAGCUAUGUUCUACCAGGUCAGAGUCAGCAAUGAUGACACAGAUCUUAUUAGAUUCCUCUGGUGGCCGGAUGGAAACUAUGAACAAGAACUUGUCGAACACAAGAUGCUGGUUCACAUUUUUGGGGCAACAUCAUCGCCAAGUGUAGCAACUUUUGCACUUCAAAAAUGUGCUACAGAUUCUGAGGAGGAAUUUGGACAACACGCUGUUAAGACAGUCAAGAAAAAUUGUUAUGUAGAUGAUUUUCUGAUGUCAGUUAAAGAUGAAAACACAGCGAUUGCUCUUUGCACUGACUUGAGAAGCAUGUUGGCAAAGGGUGGUUUUCGACUGACAAAGUGGGCAAGCAACAACCGAAAGGUGCUCAACUCAAUUCCUGAGCAGGACAGAGCAGAAGGAUUUCAAGAUCUGGAUUUGGACGUGGACAAUUUGCCUAUGGAAAGAGCAUUGGGAAUCCAGUGGUGUGCUGAGUCGGACCAGUUCAGGUUCAAGAUCAACCUAAAAGAACGACCGCAUACUAGGAGAGGUUUGUUUUCCAUUGUCAGUUCCAUUUUUGAUCCAUUAGGCUUUCUUUCUCCAAUAGUACUUCCAGCUAAAGGAAUCUUGCAAGAUUUAUGCCGACAGAAGUACAGUUGGGAUGAGAACCUGCCUGAUAACAUUGUUAAGGACUGGAACAAGUGGAUUUCAAGUUUGCAGCAGCUUGCAGAUUUUGGAGUUGACAGAUGUAUCAAACCAAAACAGUUUGGUGAAUUAGUUUUCGCACAGCUACAUCACUUUGCUGACGCAAGUGCAGAUGCUUAUGGAACUGUGAGCUAUCUACUGCUACGUAAUGCAUCUGGUGAAGCUCAUUCCACUCUGGUGAUGGCAAAGGCCCGGGUCACACCUUUAAAGGCUCCAACUAUACCAAGAAUGGAAUUAACAGCAGCCACAGUUGCAGUCAAGAUGGACAGAUUGCUGAAGAAAGAACUGGAAUUGGAACUUCACACAUCUGUAUUUUGGACAGAUAGCACAACUGUGCUAAAGUACUUGAACAGUGAAAGCACAAGAUUCAAGACUUUCGUGGCGAAUAGAAUCGCAACAAUCCUGGAGCAUUCUCAGGCUUCACAGUGGAGAUAUGUCGGUACCAAUUUGAAUCCUGCUGAUAAAGUUUCUCGAGGACAGUCUGUUGAAGCAUUCUUAAAAAAUAAAAGCUGGCUCUCAGGACCAAGUUUCUUGCAUUGUGCACAAGAUCAAUGGCCCAAGAAUCCAGAUCCAGGAAUGCUGGACACUGAUGACUUGGAGAUCAGAAGAUCAGCACAAGCUCAUGUCAUU
ensembl:lncRNA